GAUGAACGCUGGCGGCGUGCCUUAGGCAUGCAAGUCGAACGGGAAGUCUUCGGACUUCUAGUGGCGGAAGGGUGAGUAACGCGUGGGAACGUACCUAUUGGUGGAGAAUAGCUCGCCGAAAGGCGGGAUAAUUCUGCAUAAGACCGCAAGGUGAAAGGGCUUAACCGCCCGCCGAUAGAGCGGCCUGCGUCCUAUCAGCUUGUUGGGGAGGUAAAGGCUUACCAAGGCGAUGACGGGUAGCUGGGCUGAGAGGUCGGACAGCAACAAUGGAACUGAGACACGGUCCAGACGCCUACGGGAGGCAGCAGGGGGGAAUCUUGGACAAUGGGCGCAAGCCUGAUCCAGCCAUGCCGCGUGAGUGAAGAAGGUCUUCGGAUUGUAAAGCUCUUUUGCCAGGGACGAUAAUGACGGUACCUGGAGAAUAAGCCCCGGCAAACUUCGUGCCAGCAGCAGCCGCCG
rnacentral:rRNA from 1 species